AGGGCGUACGGUGGAUGCCUGGGCUCCGGAAGGCGAUGAAGGACGUGGCAAGCUGCGAAAAGCCAUGGGGAGGUGCAGGCGACCUUUGAUCCAUGGAUAUCCGAAUGGGGCAACCCGGCGGACUGACGGUCCGUCAUCCUUACGAUGUAAGGAGGCAAACGCUGGGAACUGAAACAUCUUAGUACCAGCAGGAAGAGAAAACAAAAUGUGAUUCCCCAAGUAGUGGCGAGCGAACGGGGAAUAGCCCAAACCGCCCCCAUUCCGGUGGGGUCGGGGUUGUAGGACCGCGUCGUGGCAAGAGUCAAACGAGAAGAAGUGUCUGGAAAGUCACACCAUAGCGGGUGAUAGUCCCGUAUUCGAAGAAUGACGAAGCCUAGCGGUAUCCUGAGUAGCGCGGGACACGUGAAAUCCCGUGUGAAUCCGGCGGGCCCAUCCGCCAAGGCUAAAUACUCUCCGGAGACCGAUAGUGAACAAGUACCGUGAGGGAAAGGUGAAAAGCACCCCUAGCAGGGGAGUGAAAGAGUCCCUGAAACCGUACGCCUACAAGCUGUCAGAGCGGACCCGUUCCGUGAUGGCGUGCCUUUUGCAUAAUGAACCUACGAGUUACCGUCAGCGGCGAGGUUAAGUCCCACGAGGGACGCAGCCGAAGCGAAAGCGAGUCUGAAUAGGGCACAUAGUCGCUGGCGGUAGACGCGAAACCGAGUGAUCUACCCAUGGCCAGGUUGAAGUUCCGGUAACACGGAAUGGAGGACCGAACCGAUAAGCGUUGAAAAGCUUCCGGAUGAGCUGUGGGUAGGAGCGAAAGACCAAUCAAACUCGGAGAUAGCUCGUACUCCCCGAAAAGCAUUUAGGUGCUGCCUGGGGUGUUUCCCGUGUGAGGUAGAGCGACCGGUUGGAUGCGAGGGCUUCACCGCCUGUCAAGUCCUGUCGAACUCCGAAUGCGCACGGGUGAAGCCCUGGAGAAAGGGGGCGGGUGCUAACGUCCGUUCCCGAGAGGAGAAGAAUCCUGACCGCCGGCUAAAGUCCCGGAGUCACAGCUAAGUUAGGCUAACGAAGUCCUUUCCCCAUGACAGCUAGGAUGUUGGCUUGGAAGCAGCCAUUCAUUCAAAGAGUGCGUAACAGCUCACUAGUCGAGGGAUCGGGCAUGGAUAAUAAUCGGGUAUGAAGCUGUGCACUGAAGCCGCGGGAUCCUUAUGGAUCGGUAGGGGAGCAUUCCGGUCAGCGUCGAAGCUGAAGGCGUGAGCCGCAGUGGAGCGUCCGGAAAAGCAGAUGUAGGUAUAAGUAACGAUAAAGGGGGUGAGAUUCCCCCUCGCCGUAAGACCAAGGGUUCCCGGGCGACGUCAAUCGUCCCGGGGUAAGCCGGACCCUAAGGAUAAGCCGAAAGGCGAGGCCGAUGGAAGAGCUGGUCAAUAUUCCAGCGCUGGCUGCAUGUGUGACGCGGGGACGCGGAAGUGAAACCUCCGCCGGCUGACGGAAUAGCCGGUUGAAGGGUGUAGGAGUCGAGAGGCGCAGGCAAAUCCACGCCUUGAUCCGAACCUGACAGUACACGACGGGCUUCGGCCCCGAGUGAUAGCGAGGGUAAGCAUACCGCCGAGAAAAUCCGCUAAACUCCAGCAUGCAGGCAUCCGUACUCUAAACGGACACACGUGGUCGGGUAGAAUAUACCAAGGCGCUUGGGUGAUUCGUGGUUAAGGAACUAGGCAAAUUGACCCUGUAACUUCGGGAUAAAGGGUCCUCACUGCAAGGUGAGGCGCAGAGAAUAGGUCCAGGCAACUGUUUACCAAAAACACAGGACUGUGCCAAGCAUAGAGGCUAUGUAUACAGUCUGACACCUGCCCGGUGCCGGAAGGUUAAGAGGAGUGCUCAGAGCAAUCGAAGGCAUGAAUUGAAGCCCCGGUAAACGGCGGCCGUAACUAUAACGGUCCUAAGGUAGCGAAAUUCCUUGUCGGGUAAGUUCCGACCUGCACGAAUGGUGUAAUGAUCCGGACACUGUCUCAACCACGAGCCCAGUGAAAUUGUAGUAUCGGUGAUGAUGCCGAUUACCCGCGAUGGGACGAAAAGACCCCGUGAACCUUUACUGCAGCUUAGUGCUGCGUCCGGGCAUCGGAUGUGUAGGAUAGGCCGGAGGCUAUGAAGCGGGCACGCCAGUGUUCGUGGAGCCGCCGUUGAAAUACGGCCCUUCCGCUGUCUGGACGCUAACUUGCGAUGCAAGGACACCGCUUGGCGGGCAGUUUGACUGGGGUGGUCGCCUCCAAAAGAGUAACGGAGGCUCCUAAAGGUGCCCUCAGGACGAUUGGUAACCGUCCGCAGAGUGUAAUGGCAAAAGGGCGCUUGACUGGGAGGCAGACAUGCCGAGCAGGUGGGAAACCAGAGCAUAGUGAUCCGGUGGUUCCGCAUGGAAGGGCCAUCGCUCAAAGGAUAAAAGGUACUCCGGGGAUAACAGGCUGAUGAUUCCCAAGAGCUCAUAUCGACGGAAUCGUUUGGCACCUCGAUGUCGGCUCGUCACAUCCUGGGGCUGGAGAAGGUCCCAAGGGUUGGGCUGUUCGCCCAUUAAAGUGGCACGCGAGCUGGGUUCAGAACGUCGUGAGACAGUUCGGUCUCUAUCUAUCGUGGGCGCAUGAGAUUUGCGCGGCUCUGGCACUAGUACGAGAGGACCGUGCCGGACUGACCUCUGGUCUGCCAGUUGUGCCGCCAGGUGCACCGCUGGGUAUCUAAGUCGGGAUCGGAUAAGCGCUGAAGGCAUCUAAGCGCGAAGCCGGCCGCAAGAUGAGAUCUCACAGGGUCGUCAAAGACGAUGACGUUGAUAGGAUGCAGGUGUAAAGGUGGUGACGCCAAAGCCGAGCAUUACUAAUAGCCCGUCGGCUUUGCC
rnacentral:rRNA from 1 species